AACGAACGCUGGCGGCAUGCCUAACACAUGCAAGUCGAACGAGACCUUCGGGUCUAGUGGCGCACGGGUGCGUAACGCGUGGGAACCUGCCCUUAGGUUCGGAAUAACUCCCCGAAAGGGGUGCUAAUACCGGAUAAUGUCUUCGGACCAAAGAUUUAUCGCCUUUGGAUGGGCCCGCGUUGGAUUAGCUAGUUGGUAGGGUAAAAGCCUACCAAGGCGACGAUCCAUAGCUGGUCUGAGAGGAUGAUCAGCCACACUGGGACUGAGGCACGGCUCAGACUCCUACGGGAGGCAGCAGUGGGGAAUAUUGGACAAUGGGCGAAAGCCUGAUCCAGCAAUGCCGCGUGAGUGAUGAAGGCCUUAGGGUUGUAAAGCUCUUUUACCCGGGAUGAUAAUGACAGUACCGGGAGAAUAAGCUCCGGCUAACUCCGUG
rnacentral:rRNA from 1 species